GACGAACGCUGGCGGCGUGCCUAAUACAUGCAAGUCGAACGCUGAAGGAGGAGCUUGCUUCUCUGGAUGAGUUGCGAACGGGUGAGUAACGCGUAGGUAACCUGCCUGGUAGCGGGGGAUAACUAUUGGAAACGAUAGCUAAUACCGCAUAAGAGUAGAUGUUGCAUGACAUUUGCUUAAAAGUUGCAAUUGCAUCACUACCAGAUGGACCUGCUUUGUAUUAGCUAGUUGGGGGGGUAACGGCUUACCAAGGCGACGAUACAUAGCCGACCUGAGAGGGUGAGCGGCCACACUGGGAAGGAGACACGGCCCAGACGCCUACGGGAGGGAGCAGGAGGGAAACGUCGGCAAGGGACGGAAGUCUGACCGAGAAACGCCGAGGGAGGGAAGAAGGAUGUCGGAUCGGAAAGCUCGGUUGUAAGAGAAGAACGAGGGUGAGAGUGGAAAGUUCACAGUGUGACGGUAACUGACCAGAAAGGGACGGCUAACUACGUG
rnacentral:rRNA from 1 species